AAAGGCAGUGAGCGUCUUUCCUUGGGCUGCGUGUGCCGAGCGUAGACAAUGAAAAUCUUCAUCCCCCUCCCCCAUUCCACUAGGCUACAAGAUUCUUGUUUUCGUUCCUUCUCACCGGUGGAAGAUGUGUAAAAUCAAAGAUGUAGAGGUGUGUAGUGAUUUUUUUAAAAGCCAACUAACCCACCGCACGGGCUGCGACGCGGAUUACCCGAGCGCACGCCGGCUGGGCGCAUUCUGGGGUCUCUGCGCAAGACCAGCUCUCAGCUCUCUCUCCUUUCCUCGGACUCUGGAGCGGGAGCGGGCCUUUCCCUCGGGUCGACCACGCCGUAGGGGACGCCGUGAAAAGAGCCGUCGCGCCCGCUGCCUCCUGCCCGCUGCGCAGAGGGCUCCGCCCGUAGAGGUCAACUUCCCUCACCCUUUUCUGUCUCCUGCUCGCCCUCCCUCCGCCCGGCCCAGGCGCUUGCAGCCCCAGACUGUGGCCACUGGCUGAGGAGUGCGAGUCGGCUGCGCUGCCCUGAGCCUAAUCCCUCUUCCGGGCCCAGACCCGAGGUCCGCGCUCCUGGGCAGUGGGGAAGCUUUAGUGAGCAGGCUUUUCUCUCCGCAGCAAACUCGUAGCCAGACCAGAUGGGCCGCCCAGCUCUCUCGGGACUAGGCAGUAUUCAUCCAAUUGCGCUGAUCUCCUGCAUCCACAUCUUGCGUAAUCCACAAAGCAGCUAUGGUCCAGGGCUGCAAAAUCGUCCUGCCUGAUUCCUUUAGAAUUCAUACUACCUCAGAGGAGCAAACCUAAUCCCCUCAGCCUAAUCCUACCUGUUUAGGAUCAUCUAAACUUGUCCUUCAGAAAGCUUGAUCAGUUUAAAAUUACUUUCUAAAUAGAAAUGAAAUACGUGAUAUGAGAGAGGUUAAAAUACUGCUUAAAAAGGGAAACACUCAAUUUAGUAAUUCGGUUGCCUAGAUGAAAUCGAGUGGCUAUUGAUCCGUGAUGUUUCUAGAUUUUUAAGACUAUGUACUUCCUAUUUCUUUGGAAAAUAAUCAUCCAGUUUGAUGCCCAUUACAAAUUUUCCUGCUAUGAAAGAAAUUCUAUGCGCGGCAGUUUUGCAAUAAAACAACCCAGGCUUCGCAAUGGGAGAACUUCGGUGCGGCGUGCCGUGAGAGUCCUUUGACAAUCUCAACUUUCAUCUAGGUCUGAAAUUAAAGCUUCUUGGAAUAAUUUAGGAACAGCUUGACCCGUUGAGAUACUCAAGGACAACCCUCCAGGGAAAUAGUAUGUUUCCUUCCUGGGAACAAGAUGCUAGCGCGGUGCACCGGGAGGUAUCUGGUGUCAACAAUGCCAGAGCGCCCUCUGCUGCCUCAAAGAGGCAGGACACCAGUUACAAAAGCCAGAUGGCACAGUGGCAAUAAGCGGAGGAAACAUUAAGCUCUUAGAAACGUUUAAUCUGUGAAAUUUAAAAGCUCUCAUCAUAUUCUACUUUUGAAAGGGCCACCUGAUUUUGAUUUUGAGCACUCCUUGGAUGUUAUCUUCUAUUCUGGAGGAUAAUGAAAAGUCCGUGUUUUGAAGUUUUCAGAUUAUUUCUGUAGUUAUAUUUCUCCACUCUUUCUCGAAUUUUAUAUGGAAAUACGAAAUUGCAAAUCUAAGUGAAAAACCUUUGUGUAAAACAGGUGAGUGGAGAAGACGUCCUGGUUUCUCCAAAUAACUAAGAUCUAAUAAAGAAACAAAUCUUAAUUAAAAUAAAGAUACCGAGCACAUGUUGUUGUGUUAGUUUAAAACGAUAAUAAAAAGAAAGAAAUUAAGUCUCGAUGUAAAUCAUUGUUUUGUUGUUUUGUUUCAGUGAUUAACCCAAAUUUUGACCAGACUUGAAGUUUUGAAAUAAGAAAGUGAAUUAUUUUAAAGAAGAAAAAUUUGCUUCUUAUUAAUAUGUACACUAUUUUUGCCCUUAAAACCUUUGCAAUACAUUUAUACACACACACUCAGCUUGCAAAGCCUUCUUUAGAAAAUAACCCGCUCUGAGUAGAAGUAAUCACAUAUGGUAGCAGCAUGGGCAAAGCCAUAAGAAACGUUAUUUGCAUUAAAAAUGAGUUUUUCAGUAUGGAAAAUCAAUUACCAAAUGAAAUAGAGAUUUUUUUAAAGGUUCAAACCUUUUCAAAUUUUUAUGUUAUAGGGUUUAUAUUGAUUAAAAUAAAUGUACGUUUGUAGUUAUUCAACAUUAUGAAUUUCAAGAUGGCCACCGAUUUUGAAACACACACCUUUGCCAUGAAGUCUGUUGUUGCAUAUAUUAGUGCUGAUGUAAUAAAAUGCUUCUAUUAACUAUGUGGUUGUUAAUAAAUCUUGUAAAAAUAAAGUUCUGUUUAUUUUAUGGUGUCAGAACAAAAUAGCUGUUUAAAAUCACUUAUUUUAGUCAGCGUUUAAAUGAAAAUGCCUACAAGAAUAUUAAGUUCUAAGAUUGUUGAGAAUACUAAGAUAAAAUUAAAAAUUGUAUGAUUUUACAAUUUGCUAUAAUUUAAAAAUCUUGUAUUGAUUAAAUGUUAAAUCAGGUUAAAUAUUUGACCAAUUGUGUCAAAUUCCGUAUAAAUAUGGGUACAUUUGUCUUCUGAAAGCUAUUUCUCCAAAGAAUGCACUUACGAAUGUAUGGCAUAAUAAGUGAAAAAAUGCUAGAACUUUCAUGUUUUUAUUUUAAGUAUCCUUUUAAAAAUUAAAAAUAUUAUUUUUUUCUUUUACUUAAUUUAAAUUUCUUCCUAAAUAAAUGCAUAUUUUACCCAGGAGAAAAUAAACAGAGUGACAUAAAUUUGCUAUACUUCUUAUAGUUACUAUAAUCAGUUAAAAAACAACUUCUAGGCAAAUA
rnacentral:lncRNA from 1 species